AAGGACCGGCUAAUUCCGUGCCAGCAGCCGCGGUAAUACGGAAGGUCCAGGCGUUAUCCGGAUUUAUUGGGUUUAAAGGGAGUGUAGGCGGUUUGUUAAGCGUGUUGUGAAAUUUAGGUGCUCAACAUUUAACUUGCAGCGCGAACUGUCAGACUUGAGUACACGCAACGUAUGCGGAAUUCAUGGUGUAGCGGUGAAAUGCUUAGAUAUCAUGAAGAACUCCGAUUGCGAAGGCAGCAUACGGGAGUGUAACUGACGCUUAAGCUCGAAGGUGCGGGUAUCGAACAGGAUUAGAUACCCUGGUAGUCCGCACAGUAAACGAUGGAUGCCCGCUGUUAGCGCCUGGCGUUAGCGGCUAAAGGGAAAGCAUUAAGCAUCCCACCCUGGGGAGUACGCCGGCAACGGUGAAACUCAAAGGAAUUGACGGGGGCCCGCACAAGCGGAGGAACAUGUGGUUUAAUUCGAUGAUACGCGAGGAACCUUACCCGGGCUUGAAUUGCAGAGGAAUUAUUUAGAGAUAAAUAUGCCCUUCGGGGUCUCUGUGAAGGUGCUGCAUGGUUGUCGUCAGCUCGUGCCAUGAGGUGUCGGCUUAAGUGCCAUAACGAGCGCAACCCCUUUUCUUAGUUGCCAUCAGGUAAUGCUGGGCACUCUGGGAACACUGCCACCGCAAGGUGUGAGGAAGGUGGGGAUGACGUCAAAUCAGCACGGCCCUUACGUCCGGGGCUACACACGUGUUACAAUGGCCGGUACAGAGGGACGGUGUAAUGCAAAUUGCAUCAAAUCUUAAAAGCCGGUCCCAGUUCGGACUGAGGUCUGCAACCCGACCUCACGAAGCUGGAUUCGCUAGUAAUCGCGCAUCAGCCAUGGCGCGGUGAAUACGUUCCCGGGCCUUGCACUCACCGCCCGUCAAG
rnacentral:rRNA from 1 species